rnacentral:rRNA from 1 species
AACGAACGCUGGCGGCAGGCUUAACACAUGCAAGUCGAGCGCCCCGCAAGGGGGGCGGCAGACGGGUGAGUAACGCGUGGGAAUCUACCCAUCUCUACGGAAUAACGCAUGGAAACGUGUGCUAAUACCGUAUACGUCCUUCGGGAGAAAGAUUUAUCGGAGAUGGAUGAGCCCGCGUUGGAUUAGCUAGUUGGUGGGGUAAAGGCCUACCAAGGCGACGAUCCAUGGCUGGUCUGAGAGGAUGAUCAGCCACACUGGGACUGAGACACGGCCCAGACUCCUACGGGAGGCAGCAGUGGGGAAUAUUGGACAAUGGGCGCAAGCCUGAUCCAGCCAUGCCGCGUGAGUGAUGAAGGCCCUAGGGUUGUAAAGCUCUUUCACCGGUGAAGAUAAUGACGGUAACCGGAGAAGAAGCCCCGGCUAACUUCGUGCCAGCAGCCGCAGUAAUAC